GAUGAACGCUGGCGGCGUGCUUAACACAUGCAAGUCGAACGGAAAGGCUCCUGCUUGCGGGGGUACUCGAGUGGCGAACGGGUGAGUAACACGUGGGUGAUCUGCCCUGCACUUCGGGAUAAGCCUGGGAAACUGGGUCUAAUACCGGAUAGGACGAUGGUUUGGAUGCCAUUGUGGAAAGUUUUUCGGUGUGGGAUGAGCUCGCGGCCUAUCAGCUUGUUGGUGGGGUAAUGGCCUACCAAGGCGUCGACGGGUAGCCGGCCUGAGAGGGUGUACGGCCACAGUGGGACUGAGAGAAGGCGCAGACUGCGACGGGGGGCGGGAGGGGGGAGGGGGGCACAAGGGGCGGAAGCAGGAUGCAGCAAAGCCGCGGGCGGGAUGAAGGGCUGCGGGGUGGAAACAGAUUUCGCCGGGGACGAAGCGGGAGUGACGGUAAUGGGUAAAGAAGCAAGGGCUAACUACGUG
rnacentral:rRNA from 1 species